rnacentral:rRNA from 1 species
CCGAGAGGUGAAAGGCUUGCUGCCUGGGGAAGAGCUUGCGUCUGAUUAGCUAGUUGGUAGUGUAAGAGACUACCAAGGCGACGAUCAGUAGCUGGUCUGAGAGGAUGAUCAGCCACACUGGGACUGAGACACGGCCCAGACUCCUACGGGAGGCAGCAGUGGGGAAUUUUCCGCAAUGGGCGAAGCCUGACGGAGCAAUACCGCGUGAGGGAGGAAGGCUCNNGGUUGUAAACCUCUUUUCUCAGGGAAGAAAAAAAUGACGGUACCUGAGGAAUAAGCAUCGGCUAACUCCGUGCCAGCAGCCGCGGUAAUACGGAGGAUGCAAGCGUUAUCCGGAAUGAUUGGGCGUAAAGGGUCCGCAGGUGGCAUUGUAAGNCUGCUGUUAAAGAGUCUAGCUCAACUAGAUAAGAGCAGUGGAAACUACAAAGCUAGAGUUUGGUCGGGGCAGAAGGAAUUCCUGGUGUAGCGGUGAAAUGCGUAGAUAUCAGGAAGAACACCGUGGCGAAGGCGUUCUGCUAGGCCGAGACUGACACUGAGGGACGAAAGCUAGGGGAGCGAAUGGGAUUAGAUACCCCAGUAGUCCUAGCCGUAAACGAUGGAUACUAGGCGUAGCUCGUAUCGACCCGAGCUGUGCCGGAGCUAACGCGUUAAGUAUCCCGCCUGGGGAGUACGCAGGCAACUGUGAAACUCAAAGGAAUUGACGGGGGCCCGCACAAGCGGUGGAG